rnacentral:tRNA from 1 species
GCACGUGUGGCCGAGCGGCUGAAGGCACAGGACUGCAAAUCCUGCGAGCGUAAGCUCCACGCGAGUUCGAAUCUCGCCACGUGCUCCA